CAGGAACAGAACGCCACUGCCGCCAGUUGAUCUCCCUUCGAGCUUCUAGAUCCCGAGCGUUUUUCUUCAAAUUAAGACCAGGAAAUUAAUCCCCAUCCGUCCACUAACCGAUUCAGUGAAUGCAUCAUGAGUUUUGAUCCUUUAUUGCCCCGUGAAACCGAUGCGCCCUGAAUGCCGUCCGUCGGCAUCCACCCGUCGAUCUCCCUCCUCGGACUAUAAAAGGAGACCCCUACCGCGUCAUACUGUGUCCCUGGCCAUCCGACCUCAUUCUCCUGUUGAAAGUUUUGUCUCUAAAGCUCUGUACAUCCCGUGCCAUGGCCGUCUUCCUCCGCCGUCCGUCGCCUUCAUUGUUGAAGGUUGUGCGAUCCAUGGAUCCCGUUGGCCGCGUUUUCCCCGACGCCAUGCCGGAACCACGGCCGGAGCUCCGCCGUUGCCGCCGUUUCGCGACGCCCCGAAGGCCAGAACCGACUCCCUGAACUUCAAUGUGACCUCCCGGAUUUCCUCCAUGACAUCAUCGUCUCCUCCGACCAGUCGACCACUCCCACGCCGUGUCCCUCAACUCCGGCGAACUCCUAUCCUCAGUGAGAAACUUUCAGCAGCAGCUGUAUUGACUAGCUAUCUCCCAGAGCUUGUAUAUGUCCAACGCGUAGACCAUUUUAGUCGAUUCUUUCUGAGUUAUAUAGACCAUAUCAAUCUCUACACCUCACGUCACUUUGUAUACCCCGUUCGUAUUAUCUUCAAUCAUGGAUGUUUGUUGGAAUUUGCUA